UACAGAGACUGCAAGCGUUAUUCGGAUUCACUGGGCGUAAAGGGUGCGCAGGCGGCCAAGUGUGUGAGGCGUGAAAGCCCGGGGCUUAACCCCGGAAUUGCACCUCAAACUACAUGGCUAGAGUAUUGGAGAGGGUAGCAGAAUUCAUGGUGUAGCAGUGAAAUGCGUAGAUAUCAUGAGGAAUACCAGAGGCGAAGGCGGCUACCUGGACAAUUGCUGACGCUCAGGCACGAAAGCGUGGGGAGCAAAAGGG
rnacentral:rRNA from 1 species